GACGAACGCUGGCGGCGUGCUUAACACAUGCAAGUCGAACGGAAAGGCCCUGCUUUUGUGGGGUGCUCGAGUGGCGAACGGGUGAGUAACACGUGAGUAACCUGCCCUUGACUUUGGGAUAACUUCAGGAAACUGGGGCUAAUACCGGAUAGGAGCUCCUGCUGCAUGGUGGGGGUUAGAAAGUUUCGGCGGUUGGGGAUGGACUCGCGGCUUAUCAGCUUGUUGGUGGGGUAGUGGCUUACCAAGGCUCUGACGGGUAGCCGGCCUGAGAGGGUGACCGGCCACAUUGGGACUGAGAUACGGCCCAGACUCCUACGGGAGGCAGCAGUAAGGAAUAUUGCACAAUGGGCGGAAGCCUGAUGCAGCAACGCCGCGUGCGGGAUGACGGCCUUCGGGUUGUAAACCGCUUUCGCCUGUGACGAAGCGUGAGUGACGGUAAUGGGUAAAGAAGCACCGGCUAACUACGUG
rnacentral:rRNA from 1 species